GAGAACUUUGAAUGCUCUUCCUGUGAAUAAUUAAUGAUUGACUUGCUAUGCUUGGAAUGUGUAAUGGAGUGAAUUCCAGAGAAUGUGCCUAUCCUUGGUGGUGGGCAAGAGAAAAUGCACGGAUCUUUCUCAAGAAAAUAGCUCUGAUUGGAUAUUUUGCUAAUGAUCGUAAUUAUGUGAACACAUAAUGGAGAUAUGUAAUGUAAUGUGAAGACAUAAUUACAAAUGGAGAUGCACCAGCCACUUUAUAAUCAUAGAAACAAACCUGAAAGGGAAGGCCAACACACCCAGGAUGACAUCCCAGCAGAAGAAUGACGGGAACACUGGGUCCUUGAUCACCUCAUUUUCGUUCUGGACCUCUUGUUAAGUAAAUCCAUAAAUAUCUUUAUCACUUGUA